GUACGCUGGCGGCACGCCUAAUACAUGCAAGUCGAACGAAGUAGCAAUACUUAGUGGCAGACGGGUGAGUAACAUGUGGGUAUCUUCCCUUUGGUGAGGAAUAACACGAGGAAACUUGUGCUAAUACCUCAUAAGUCUUUACGGAGAAAGCUUUAUGCGCCAAUGGAUGAGCCCGCACUUGAUUAGUUUGUUGGUGAGGUAAUGGCUCACCAAGACUUUGAUCAAUAGCUGAUUUGAGAGGAUGAUCAGCCACAUUGGGACUGAGACACGGCCCAAACUCCUACGGGAGGCAGCAGUAGGGAAUCUUGCACAAUGGGGGAAACCCUGAUGCAGCGAUGCCGCGUGAGUGAAGAAGGCCUUUGGGUUGUAAAGCUCUUUCGUCGGGGAAGAAAAUGACUGUACCCGAAUAAGAAGGUCCGGCUAACUUCGUGCCAGCAGCCGCGGUAAUACGAAGGGACCUAGCGUAGUUCGGAAUUACUGGGCUUAAAGAGUUCGUAGGUUGUUAAAAAAGUUGGUGGUGAAAUCCCAGAGCUUAACUCUGGAACUGCCAUCAAAACUUUUUAGCUAGAGUUUGAUAGAGGAAAGCAGAAUUUCUAGUGUAGAGGUGAAAUUCGUAGAUAUUAGAAAGAAUACCAAUUGCGAAGGCAGCUUUCUGGAUCAUUACUGACACUGAGGAACGAAAGCAUGGGUAGCGAAGAGGAUUAGAUACCCUCGUAGUCCAUGCCGUAAACGAUGUGUGUUAGACGUUGGAAAUUUAUUUUCAGUGUCGCAGCGAAAGCAAUAAACACACCGCCUGGGGAGUACGACCGCAAGGUUAAAACUCAAAUGAAUUGACGGGU
rnacentral:rRNA from 1 species